CACGUAGUUAGCCGUGGCUUUCUGAUUAGGUACCGUCAAGACGCGCACAGUUACUUACGCAUUUGUUCUUCCCUAAUAACAGAGUUUUACGAUCCGAAGACCUUCAUCACUCACGCGGCGUUGCUCCGUCAGGCUUUCGCCCAUUGCGGAAGAUUCCCUACUGCUGCCUCCCGUAGGAGUCUGGACCGUGUCUCAGUUCCAGUGUGGCCGAUCACCCUCUCAGGUCGGCUACGUAUCGUUGCCUUGGUGAGCCGUUACCUCACCAACUAGCUAAUACGGCGCGGGUCCAUCUAUAAGUGACAGCAAAGCCGCCUUUCAUUGUAGAACCAUGCGGUUCAACAUGUUAUCCGGCAUUAGCCCCGGUUUCCCGGAGUUAUUCCAGUCUUAUAGGUAGGUUACCCACGUGUUACUCACCCGUCCGCCGCUAACGUCAAAGGAGCAAGCUCCUUAUCUGUUCGCUCGACUUGCAUGUAUUAGGCACGCCGCCAGCGUUCAUCCUGAGCCAGGAUA
rnacentral:rRNA from 1 species